rnacentral:tRNA from 1 species
UUUUAUGGCUGAGAGUAAGCGGUAGAUUUUUAAUCUAUUGAGGAUUAAUUCUUUGCGAUGAUUUUUUUCAACAAAUCAUAAAGA